CUUUGGGAAACGGAGAGUCACUCUCAUUCAGCAGAUCCAGCUCCACUCCAAACGCCACCUACAGAUGAUAUAAAAACAGAGGAUUGACAACAUCUUACAACAUGAUAAGGUACCUAACAAUACACAGCAAUGAUGGAUGGAUGAACAGAUGGAUGGCUGGAUGGAUAGAUCAAUGGAUUAUUACACCAUGUGAAAUGGAUAAGUGACUUACAGACUGCUGAAGGCAGGGUCCAUUAUUCUUCGCUGUUUGUACCACUCAUCAUGAUUCUGUGCUGUGACCAGGCCAUUUCCAAAAAACCUAUGAAGAAGGACAACAGAGUAUUUACCCUAAGACUGAAUAAACUGACCAGUGACCAAGUUG